GAUGAACGCUGGCGGCGUGCCUAAUACAUGCAAGUCGAGCGAACGGACGAGAAGCUUGCUUCUCUGAUGUUAGCGGCGGACGGGUGAGUAACACGUGGAUAACCUACCUAUAAGACUGGGAUAACUUCGGGAAACCGGAGCUAAUACCGGAUAAUAUUUUGAACCGCAUGGUUCAAAAGUGAAAGACGGUCUUGCUGUCACUUAUAGAUGGAUCCGCGCUGCAUUAGCUAGUUGGUAAGGUAACGGCUUACCAAGGCAACGAUGCAUAGCCGACCUGAGAGGGUGAUCGGCCACACUGGAACUGAGGCACGGCCCAGACUCCUACGGGAGGCAGCAGUAGGGAAUCUUCCGCAAUGGGCGAAAGCCUGACGGAGCAACGCCGCGUGAGUGAUGAAGGUCUUCGGAUCGUAAAACUCUGUUAUUAGGGAAGAACAUAUGUGUAAGUAACUGUGCACAUCUUGACGGUACCUAAUCAGAAAGCCACGGCUAACUACGUG
rnacentral:rRNA from 1 species